AACGAACGCUGGCGGCAGGCUUAACACAUGCUAGUCGAACGCAUCCUUCGGGGUGAGUGGCAGACGGGUGAGUAACGCGUGGGAACGUGCCCUUCAGUUCGGGAUAACCCAGGGAAACUUGGGCUAAUACCGGAUACGUGCGAGAGCAGAAAGAUUUAUCGCUGAAGGAUCGGCCCGCGUCUGAUUAGCUAGUUGGUGGGGUAAUGGCCCACCAAGGCGACGAUCAGUAGCUGGUUUGAGAGGAUGAUCAGCCACAUUGGGACCUGGACACGGCCCAAACUCCUACGGGAGGCAGCAGUGGUGAUUAUUGGACAAUGGGCGAAAGCCUGGUCCAGCCAUGCAGCGUGAGUGAUGAAGGCCUUAGGGUUGUAAAGCUCUUUCGUCCGGGACGAUAAUGACGGUACCGGAAGAAGAAGCCCCGGCUAACUUCGUGCCAGCCGCCGCUGUAA
rnacentral:rRNA from 1 species